rnacentral:rRNA from 1 species
GUAGCGGUGCGAGCGUUGUCCGGAAUUAUUGGGCGUAAAGGGCUCGUWGGCGGUUUGUUGCGUCGGAAGUGAAAACUCAGGGCUUAACCCUGAGCCUGCUUCCGAUACGGGCAGACUAGAGGUAUGCAGGGGAGAACGGAAUUCCUGGUGUAGCGGUGAAAUGCGCAGAUAUCAGGAGGAACACCGGUGGCGAAGGCGGUUCUCUGGGCAUUACCUGACGCUGAGGAGCGAAAGUGUGGGGAGCGAACAGGAUUAGAUACCCUGGUAGUCCACACCGUAAACGUUGGGCGCUAGGUGUGGGACUCAUUCCACGAGUUCCGUGCCGCAGCUAACGCAUUAAGCGCCCCGCCUGGGGAGUACGGCCGCAAGGCUA